rnacentral:lncRNA from 1 species
UAAAAAAAGAUAACAUAAAUAUAAGUGGAUAAGAAAAAUAAGUAGAAAUAAAUUACACAAGAAAAAUUAUAAAACUAAUAAAGGUUUCCGCGAAGCAUACAUUUAUUUGCUCCAAGUAUAAACAGUGACUUGUUUAGUAGUAAGGUGGUGGAGGUGACUUAUAGAUGUACGGAGGGGGUGGGGAAUUGUAAACAUAAGGAGGUGGAGGUGGAGAUUUGUACAUAUACGGAGGAGGUGGUGGGGACUUGUACACAUACGGAGGAGGUGGUGGGGACUUGUACACAUACGGAGGAGGUGGUGGGGACUUGUACACAUACGGAGGAGGUGGUGGGGACUUGUACACAUACGGAGGAGGUGGUGGGGACUUGUACACGUGGUGGGGACUUGUACACAUACGGAGGAGGUGGUGGGGACUUGUACACAUACGGAGGAGGUGGUGGGGACUUGUACACAUACGGAGGAGGUGGUGGGGACUUGUACACAUAUGGAGGAGGUGGGGACUUGUAGAGAUAUGGUGGUGGGGACAUAUAGACAUAAGGUGGUGGUGGUGGAGACUUGUAGACGUAUGGUGGAGGAGGUGACUUGUAUAUGUAUGGAGGUGGAGGUGACAUGUAGACGUAAGGAGGAGAAGGUGAUGGUGAUGGCGAUGUGUAGACAUAAGGUGGAAGAGAUUUAUGAUCGCGUCCAUAAGGUGGCUUGUAAGAAUAAGGCGGCGGGGACAUGUAAACAUACGGUGGUGGAGGCGGUGGCG